AGCGAACGCUGGCGGCGUGCCUAACACAUGCAAGUCGAACGUGAACGGGGGCAACCCCAAGUAAAGUGGCGUACGGGUGAGUAACACGUAGGUAAUCUACCUGAGAGUCUGGAAUAACCUGCCGAAAGGCGGGCUAAUACUGGAUAGAGCGAAGAGACUCAUAAAGAGUCUUUCGGGAAAGGGAGCUUGUAAGAGCCCUUGCUCUCGGAUGAGCCUGCGUCCCAUCAGCUAGUUGGCGAGGUAACGGCUGACCAAGGCGAUGACGGGUAGCUGGUCUGAGAGGAUGAUCAGCCACACUGGAACUGAAACACGGUCCAGACUCCUACGGGAGGCAGCAGUGGGGAAUCUUGCGCAAUGGACGAAAGUCUGACGCAGCCACGCCGCGUGAGUGAAGAAGGCCUUCGGGUUGUAAAGCUCUGUCGGAGGGGACGAACAUUAUGUGAGUUAAUAGCUCAUGUAACUGACGGUACCCUUAAAGGAAGCACCGGCUAACUCUGUGCCAGCCGCCGCUGUAACAC
rnacentral:rRNA from 1 species